rnacentral:misc_RNA from 1 species
CUCUCUCUCUCUCUCUCUCAAAAUUCCCAUAUAUCACCAUCAUUAUUUGUUCAUCCUCUUUUCACAGAUUAAAAACAAUCUCACUCACCUUCUUGUUAUUAAUCCACUUGUAGGUUUAAAUCCCAUAUGUUUUCCCCAGUGAAAAGUCCAAAAAUUCUCUUAAAGAACCAAUAUCAUCUUUGUCUUGUUCUCUUCAGAUGAUAAAUAUUUUUCUAAUCCGCCCUGAAGUGCAUGUUACCUUUUCUGGAUUCUCUUUGUGUGGGCAAUGAUUUCUGUUUCCUUUCUACUUUCUACUAUCAUCUAGCUGAUAUUUUCUAUUGAAAGGUUUUUUGUUUCUCGUUAAAUUUGCAUUUCCCAUGUGGUUCUUUUAUCAUUCUUCUGCAUUUUCUGUGUCAGAGUUUUGAUGGGUUGUGCUGCAGGUGGUUCCGCUUUAGCGGCUUGAGUUAAUAAUAUUAAAGAGUUCUGUUCUGUUGGUCUUCCUGGGUAGGCCUUUCAACUGCUUUUCUUUAUUUUUCCAUGUUGCUCUUCCCUUCUUUUUCCAAUUUUAACUCUUCCUGAAUUUGUUAAUAGUUAAAAUUGCUUGAUGCUUUACUUGUUCUAAUUUUGUUCGAAGGUCCUGGAAUGUUUUCUUCAUUUCAAUAGGUUCUUUCGUAUAGAUAUUUAUUGGGGUUGUUGGAAUUUUCCAUUCUUUUCUUUGAAGUAAGUUUCCAGUUUUGCUUUCUAUGAACGCUCGGGACCUGUUCAGUCUUUAGCUUGUAGUGUUCUUGCUUCUAUUGUCAUUUUUAGUUGGUAUUGAAUUGUGUCUUCUAAGGGCUUUGAUCAACUUCCCUAAAUUUGUUCUUUUGCCUAAUCAUAUUUCAGUAAUCUCUUGUUCUUCAUUGUCAUAAUGCGUCCCACUUAUUUCCCUCUUCGAUGGGAGAGUACUGGAGACCAGUGGUGGUAUGCUUCUCCCAUUGAUUGGGCAGCUGCUAAUGGCCACUAUGACUUGGUCAGGGAGCUCCUUCGCAUUGACAACAAUCACCUUAUCAAGCUCACCUCUCUCAGGCGAAUUCGACGCCUUGAGACUGUGUGGGAUGAUGAGGAACAGUUUGAUGAUGUUGCCAAAUGUCGCUCUCAAGUUGCCAGAAAACUUUUUCAUGAGUGUGAAUCCAAGAAAGGUAAAAAUUCUCUCAUCCAAGCCGGCUAUGGUGGAUGGCUUAUCUACACUGCUGCUUCAGCUGGAGACUUGAGUUUUGUUCAGGAGCUUCUUGAAAAGAACCCUCUACUUGUUUUUGGUGAAGGAGAAUACGGUGUUACAGAUAUACUCUAUGCUGCUGCCAGAAGCAAGAGUAGUGAAGUUUUCAGGAUUGUUUAUGAUUUUGCUGUUUCUCCAAGGUUUUUGACAGCAAAAGGUGGAGAGUUUGAGGAGCACAUAGGGGAUAUUCCUUCUCUGUACAAGUGGGAGAUGAUCAAUAGGGCUGUUCAUGCUGCUGCAAGAGGUGGGAAUUCAAACAUUUUGAGGGAGCUUCUCAGUAAUUGCACUGAUGUCUUGGCUUAUAGAGAUAAGGAAGGCGCAACUAUUUUACAUGCUGCUGCUGCCAGAGGGCAGGUCGAGGUAGUUAAAGAUCUUAUAGCCUCCUUUGAUAUCAUCAAUUCAACAGACCAUCUAGGCAACACAGCGUUGCAUAUUGCUGCUUAUAGGGGUCAAUUAUCUGUGGUAGAAGCUCUGAUUGCUGCGUCUCCCUCAUUGAUCUCUUUAACAAACAAUGCUGGAGAAACCUUUCUUCAUAUGGCUGUGUCCGGAUUCCAAACUCCUGCCUUUAAAAGAUUGGACCGGCAGAUUGAGCUUAUGAAGCAGUUGGUUUGUGGGAAAUUUUUCAAUGUGGAAGACAUCAUCAAUGCCAAAAGUAAUGAUGGAAGGACUGCACUCCACACAGCCAUCAUUGGGAAUGUUCACUCUGAUCUUGUGCAGCUCCUGAUGUCUGCUCAUUCAAUAAAUGUCAAUGUCCAUGAUGCAGAUGGGAUGACCCCUCUUGAUCUUCUUAAGCAACGGCCACAUUCUGCAUCAUCAGAUGUACUGAUUAGGCAACUGAUUUCAGCAGGUGGGAUAUUUGGUUGCCAGGAUUAUUCUGCAAGAAAAGCCAUUGCCUCUCGUUUGAAGAUGCAAGGUAAUGGAGUCAGUCCUGGAACAUCAUUCAGAAUCUCCGAUGCAGAAAUAUUCUUGUAUACAGGUAUUGAGAUUGCUUCUGAUGCUGAUCCAGCUUAUGAAGAAAGGAGUUCAUAUUCAACUGAACAUAUUGACUCAACCAAUGAGAACCAGAGCUCAACAAUUAAUAGGAAGUUAGGUUCUGUUAGUAGCGCAGCACAACAGUUGAAAAGAGUCCUCCAUUGGCCCCGUCUGAAAGGGGAAAAACCGGAAAGAUUCAAGAAAUCAGUGGAUCAAGUUUCUUUGGAAUCAUGCAAGAAAUGCAAUUGUCCAGGGGAAACUCCAACCCCACUUCGCCAGAAAUUCACGAAGCCCUCAUCCCUUCCUAACAACAAGAGGACACUUUCCGUUAGGAGUAAUCAAUCAAGUCCAACAGCCAAGAAGAAAUUUGCUUCAGGCAUAAUGCAUGGUGUUAUGCAGGCUAUGCCACAAUUAACUGUUCCAGGUCGAUCACGCUCAAGUUCAUUUUCAAAAUCAUCCACAUCUUCUCCUACUUCGUUGGAUAAACAAAAAGGGGUAUUUAUUGACAAUGAUGUAGCUGGGCCAUCAUCUUCCAAUCAAUCAUUUGAUGAUGGAACACCAAAUGUGAUUGGGAAAGAAGGCUCCACGAUGAAUAAGAAGUUGAGGAACCAAUACUUCUGUUUUGGUGCAUCUGGCCUUUCUGUGAAAACCCCAGUUAGCAGGCCGCGGCAAAGCCAUAGUUCAAAUCCUUCUGUUCUCUCAGCAGCUUGAUGAGAAAAGCUAUUGUCUUGCAGUGAUUCAGGUGUCAAAGAAAGGAGGGAGUCCAAAGCUGAGAGCCCAGACGGAAGCAAGCAGCAGAUUGUCUAACUUAGACGAAGAUUAACAAGUUCUCUUAGCUGUUUCCUGCAUGUCUUUUCCUUUGUAGAAUGUUGUCUUGUUUAAUUUGAGUAGGCCAAGUAAUCGUACUCAAAACUUUCUCUGAAGUACAUCUUGUGCUUUUAUGUUGUGGAAAGUAGUGAAGAAAUGUAAUAUUCUGAACGGUUAAGCAUUUAGUUUUCUUAUUUCUUUCAGCUAGGAAAGCAAAAUCGAUCAGCAAGUUAUCUUCUAGUUUGCAAGCAAGAAAGAAGCAGCAACAUGCUUCAGUUGGCUGUAAUAACUAGAUGAAGGCUCUUUGAUAAGCGGCUCUUUGAUAAAUGCUUGCUUGGUUAAAACCUCUGAAGUGCUCUUUUUCUGAACAUUGGCAGGCUGUCAAGCAGAUUAUGUAUCAACGGCGAAUGGACUAGAAUUUUGAUCUGAACUUGCAAAUCACAUGGGCCUGCCUAACUGUUUGGACUGUUGGCCCUUUUAAGGCCAGGCCCUUGUCUGUUCCUCCAA